UGAGGUUGUAUGCAUUCUUCCGCUUUGUGACAAGAUGGUUAAAUAGAAUUUCUCAGUGUGUAUAUUUCUGCCUGGCACCUCGUGUAAACUAAAUGACACUUCAAAUGCUUCUCGUUUAAUCCUGCCGAGUCUCAGAGAAAUCUAGUCCACCCCUAAGUACCGACUUCUAUAAUUGCUGCCUGUGUUUUGUCCCCUGCAGUAAACAGUAAGUUGAAGCGCGACGGUACUUCUGUGUGAAGACGCGGCCAACCUCUUCCCCGUGACGCAACCGAGGCGAGACUCGGAGGGCUGCGAUCACAAUAUUUAACACACCCACCGUGGAUGAACCCUCGGAAGAGAAGACGAG
ensembl:lncRNA